GCGCGAUAUUAUGAAUCGAACUUUGGAUCUUUUUAAUCGAAAAUAUUUGACUGCAAGGAAACUUAAUGGAUGACCUAUCAGCCCAUCGCCCUGCGCUGACCAACGCUGACCGUCCCACCUUGGAGAGACACACACUGACAGUGUGUGUGUGCUGCAGUAUGGUGGAUGGAGGCACCCUCUGGGCAACAGCAGCGUUCAUAACCCUGGCUCCGUCCAUGUGAACUGACAGGCCAGAUCUAUCGGCCAAAGCACGAACCUUGGAGAUGGAAACAAGUCUGUGAUGGUUCUAUGUGAGGUCCUCGUCAAACAUGGCCUUCAGCAUGGCCCGCCUCAUUGCCGGCCCGGGCCGGGAAAACGCGUCGCUGCGGAGGUCCACCACCCGGAUGGUGGCUGCGCUGCCCGGCCCUCGGUACUUGGGUCUCC